rnacentral:rRNA from 1 species
AACGGAAAGGCCCUGCUUGCAGGGUACUCGAGUGGCGAACGGGUGAGUAACACGUGGGUGAUCUGCCCUGCACUUCGGGAUAAGCUUGGGAAACUGGGUCUAAUACCGGAUAGGAACCAUCUUUAGUGUGGUGGUUGGAAAGUUUUUUCGGUGUAGGAUGAGCUCGCGGCCUAUCAGCUUGUUGGUGGGGUAAUGGCCUACCAAGGCGGCGACGGGUAGCCGGCCUGAGAGGGUGUACGGCCACAUUGGGACUGAGAUACGGCCCAGACUCCUACGGGAGGCAGCAGUGGGGAAUAUUGCACAAUGGGCGCAAGCCUGAUGCAGCGACGCCGCGUGGGGGAUGAAGGCCUUCGGGUUGUAAACUCCUUUCGCUAGGGACGAAGCUUUUUGUGACGGUACCUAGAUAAGAAGCACCGGCUAACUACGUGCCAGCAGCCGCGGUAAUACGUAGGGUGCGAGCGUUGUCCGGAAUUACUGGGCGUAAAGGGCUCGUAGGUGGUUUGUCGCGUCGUCUGUGAAAUUCUGGGGCUUAACUCCGGGCGUGCAGGCGAUACGUGCAUAACUUGAGUGCUGUAAGGUAACUGGAAUUCUGGUGUUGCGGUGAAAUGCGCAGAUA